UACGAAGGGUGCAAACGUUGCUCGGAAUUAUUGGGCGUAAAGCGCACGUAGGCGGCUUUGCAAGUCGGAUGUGAAAUCCCUCGGCUUAACCAAGGAAGUGCAUCCGAAACUGCAGAGCUUGAGUACUUAAGAGGAUCGCGGAAUUCCCGGUGUAGAGGUGAAAUUCGUAGAUAUCGGGAGGAACACCAGUGGCGAAGGCGGCGAUCUGGGAAGAUACUGACGCUGAGGCGCGAAAGCUAGGGGAGCAAACAGG
rnacentral:rRNA from 1 species